rnacentral:rRNA from 1 species
UACGUAGGGUCCGAGCGUUGUCCGGAAUUACUGGGCGUAAAGAGCUCGUAGGUGGUUUGUCGCGUUGUUCGUGAAAACUCACAGCUUAACCUGUGGGCUUGCGGUCGAUACGGGCAUCACUGGAGUUCGGCAGGGGAGACUGGAAUUCCUGGUGUAGCGGUUGAAAUGCGCAGAUAUCAGGAGGAACACCGGUGGCGAAGGCGGGUCUCUGGGCCAUUACUGACGCUGAGGAGCGAAAGCGUGGGGAGCGAACAGG